ACGGGGGGUGCAAGCGUUAAUCGGAAUUACUGGGCGUAAAGCGCGCGUAGGCGGUCUGGUCAGUCGGAUGUGAAAGCCCUGGGCUCAACCUGGGAAUGGCAUUCGAUACUGCCAGACUAGAAUAUGGGAGAGGCAAGUGGAAUUUCCGGUGUAGCGGUGAAAUGCGUAGAUAUCGGAAGGAACACCAGUGGCGAAGGCGGCUUGCUGGCCCAAUAUUGACGCUGAGGUGCGAAAGCGUGGGGAGCGAACAGG
rnacentral:rRNA from 1 species